AUGAGCGCUAAAACGAGAGAUGCUUAUGUCCCUUUCUACACACGUUUCUCAUUCAUUCAAGCGUUACUUUUCCUCUUUCCUUUCUAUCAAAUCGGGGUUUCCUUUUCUUCCCUCUUCAUCUCCUUAAUAUCGUUAUAAUCAGAGUUUCUUUUCUUCCUCCUUCAUCAUCCUAUGUAAACCCUAAAGGAAUUCACAGCAGUUCUUCAAGGAUUAUUACCGAUUUAUUCUAAUGGAAUGAUGGAUCUUUCAAAUGUGGGUUGUUCUACAAGCAACAGAGUCCCAAUGAUGGUGAAUGCAACGAUGCUGAAGAUAGUCUCAAUCAGAUUUCAAUUGAGAGCAACUGAGCAGAAGGAUGUGAAGGUUGUUAUACUGACUCAAUGAUGAUGGUGGUCAUGGUUGUGGGAAUCACUUAAUCCUAUCAUUGAAUCUGGAUCACUUAAAGUUAUUAACGUGGAUCAGCUCUGAACUUCGUUGAUCUAGAAUUUAAGAAGAUGGCGAUCAAAAUAUGCGAUCCAGUCGUCUGUACCUAGCGAAGGUGUGUACGAUUAAGUGGGGCCUGGCGUCAUUGUGAGUUUAAAGUUCUUCAUUUUGGUUAAUUUAGUGAUCUUCGUCUGCCAUCUCAAGCAUUCUAUCAGUUUUCUCCUAUCCCUCAUCCUCUGUCCAGAGGAAAAAAAGACAGAUAAUGGUUGACGAUUCUUCGUUGAGGAAACCAAACAGCGAUGGAGAUGAAGACCACAGGCCAAACGCGACCGGAAGAGAAAAAACCAUACUGAUGACGUUACUGGUAGACUUUCCACUUCAUUAAAGCAUCUCCCAAACGCUUUAAUGUUGUAUUCAACAUCGGAGGAAUAGGAGAUGAAAAUGCUUCUACAAGGGUGUUGCGUAUGUGCGAAACCUUCUUUGAAGACAACGAGAUCGUUGGAGAACGAAAAGUUAGUUGUUGUACCAAACUCAUCGGACAAGUUCAAAGUUUUCGAGAGGUUAUGUCGGUUCUUUACAAAUCGACUUCAGGGAAUACCACCGCCUUUGACAAACUAUUAGACCACAUGUUUGUUUGCAACAGGGAGGAAUUUGUAUGCAAAUAGAAAUCCAAAUUGAAAGCAUAGCGUUCUUGAUAGUCACUGACCAUGCAGCGUUCUUGAUAGUCAAUGACCAAAUGGAAUCCUAGGAAACUAAUAACAGCUGAUCUAAGUUUUCGAGUUUGUAAGAUCUAAGUUUUCAGCCGCUUCAGCCAGGUAUGCAACUUGGAUUUUGUUUCUCAUGAGAACUGAUGCACAUUGUGAUGCGGGUAUUUUGAAUGGUGGAGAUCUUUUCUCUUUGCUGAGAAAUUUAAGUUGUUUGAAAGAAAAUGUGACACAACCUUAUAUUGCAUAAUCCGUCAGUUAUAACGUCGUCGUCCUUCUAGAUUACUUUCAUAUGGGUAUGCUCUUAUGAAUUAAGAGUUAAAUCGUUAUCUACAUAUUCAUCUUUUGAUUCCUAAUCCUCAAAACAAAUUGUUGUAGUUACUUCUUUUUUUUUUUAAUUUAUAUAUACUUCGAUUUCUGAAUCAUUGUCGCGCAAUCAUCUACCUAAGCUGAAUUUCCUAUUUUAUAUGGUAUGUUUCUGAGCUAAAAGCACACUUACAUGAGAAGUCCUUUGAUCUUGAGUUUUGGUCUAUGAUGGUGAGCAUGGGCUUAUCUGAGAGGUUUUAUGAAGUUGUAUUCUGGUUCCGAUUAUUAUAAGCCCUAAUGUUGUAAGCUCAAUGAUGGUGAGCCAAGGAUCGGCUGAAGGCUUCUUGAAUGUGGUUCAAGGAUGGUAGUUCAUUACUUGCAACCUUCCCUUCAACCAUGGUGGUAUUGUUGUUUUCUAGACUCUGAGCCUAUCAUAAGCAUAUUUGCCUCGACUAAAGUUUUCGUUUUAACUAUCCGAUGGUGCUUGGCUUUGUUUUGGUUUAAACUAAUAGAACAAACAAGAAAGUAGCGGGGGUUGAGAAGCUUCCGUUGUCUGUUGAGAUCAAACUCUCUCGAUCCAAUCAAACCUAUCGCCCCAAUCUAACAUGCGAAUGCACAACCUACACCUUACAGAUUUCAGCAACUUAAUUAACUCUUCUGUCAAUAGCCACUUCGGGAAAACUUCAUCACCAGAUUACUUUCUUCCAUUUCUGACCUUGGAAUCCAUAUAACCAUCAACAAUUCUAUAAAUCUGCAGGUUCGUGGAGGUUCAGUUGGAUUCAUUGAAUCGAUUUACGGUGUUUUGAAGCAUAUUCGAAUAGUGUGUACUGUUGCACAACAAAUAUGGGCUUUCAUAGAAACCAGGUGCAAGCUAAGCCGAUUUUAUAUUCUUGAGCUUAAAUAUUUGGUUGAUAUACAAAAUAAAUGCCACGGGUCAAGGAAAUGGAGACGCGCAAUAUUAUCGGUCAUGCAGACAGCCCUAUGAAAUUAAAACGUAUGGCUUCCUAUGGGUUAAAAACAGGGCAAAAUGCAAUGCGUUGUCGUGGGAAGAUUGAUGUAAUUUCGAGUUACACUCUAUGGGGGUGUGAUGUAAUGUUUUUAUUUGGUAAACUAUGUAAUAUCUCCGGGUUAACAUUUUUGUUGACCGGUUAAUUUGAAUAAAAUAUUUUGUUGGCCGUUAAAAAAAUAUAUUUUAGUAGUAAUGAAGGUGGGUUAACUAGA
rnacentral:lncRNA from 1 species